rnacentral:rRNA from 1 species
GAUGUACGCUGGCGGCGUGCCUAAUACAUGCAAGUCGAGCGAACGGACGAGAAGCUUGCUUCUCUGAUGUUAGCGGCGGACGGGUGAGUAACACGUGGAUAACCUACCUAUAAGACUGGGAUAACUUCGGGAAACCGGAGCUAAUACCGGAUGAUAUUUUGAACCGCAUGGUUCAAAAGUGAAAGACGGUCUUGCUGUCACUUAUAGAUGGAUCCGCGCUGCAUUAGCUAGUUGGUAAGGUAACGGCUUACCAAGGCAACGAUGCAUAGCCGACCUGAGAGGGUGAUCGGCCACACUGGAACUGAGACACGGUCCAGACUCCUACGGGAGGCAGCAGUAGGGAAUCUUCCGCAAUGGGCGAAAGCCUGACGGAGCAACGCCGCGUGAGUGAUGAAGGUCUUCGGAUCGUAAAACUCUGUUAUUAGGGAAGAACAUAUGUGUAAGUAACUGUGCACAUCUUGACGGUACCUAAUCAGAAAGCCACGGCUAACUACGUG